rnacentral:rRNA from 1 species
UACAGAGGGUGCAAGCGUUAAUCGGAUUUACUGGGCGUAAAGCGUGUGUAGGUGGUUGUUCAAGUCGGUUGUGAAAUCCCCGGGCUCAACCUGGGAAUUGCUUCCGAGACUGAGCGACUAGAGUACGGUAGAGGGCGGUGGAAUUUCCGGUGUAGCGGUGAAAUGCGUAGAUAUCGGAAGGAACACCAAUGGCGAAGGCAGCCGCCUGGGCCUGUACUGACACUGAGACACGAAAGCGUGGGGAUCAAACAGGAUUAGAUACCCUGGUAGU